UCCCAGCGGUCCAAGUCGCAACCACAAUUAUUGGGUCUAAAAUAUCUGUAGCUUGCUUUGUAAGUCUCUUGUGAAAUCCUAUAUCUCAAGUAUAGGGCGUGCAGGAGAUACUACAUUGCUAGAGACCGGGAGACGUAAGAAGUACAGUCAAGGUAGUGGUAAAAUACGUUGAUCUUGAUUGGACUAACAACCGCGAAGGCAUCUUACGAGCACGGAUCUGACAGUGAGAGAUGAAGGCUAGGGUCGCGAA
rnacentral:rRNA from 1 species